rnacentral:lncRNA from 1 species
CUCUGUGCAAGGGACACUUGUGCCAGGGUUGGAUGUGACGCAGCCGCUGGGGUGCGAUGCAUGGGCUGCUCCUGUGUGCAACCCUCACCCCUUUAUGGGGCAGAAGCAAAAAUGACGGAGCUGCUCUGCACUUGGAUGGAGACUUUUGCAAGGAGCCGUGACGUGGCAGCACAAUUAAAGCGGGAGGUGGUGCUGAAGCACAGCAGAUGAGCUUGGCUUCUCCAAAAACCACAGCUUCCCUCCCAGCAGCUGCGGGUGCUGAUACAGGGCCUGUCCAGCCUGUGCUGCCAGAAGGGAGGCAAAGCAGCAGGAGAGCAGAUACUGAGGGGUCAUGGCCGUGCGGUUUCCCGCUCUGCUCCCGCUGAUCCUCACAGCCCUGCAGCCCGCAGCCGUCCCCACAGAGCCGCCGCCGCCCUGCCCGUGGGAGAUGAACAAGGUGAAGGACAUCGUGGAGGUGAACUGCACCGGGCGGGAUCUCGGUGCGGUGCCCGCCAGCCU